UCUGUUCUGGUGGAAAACAGGUUAGUUUUUAAUGCCGCAGUACUUUGUUCUUUUUAUGGGAAUACACUGUGCAAAGUGACCCCAGGAUGCUUUAUUUGGAAAAAUGUGACCAGCGGCUCUGUAGGAACAUUCAGACAAACUGAGGUGAGCGCUGCCGCCGGGUGAAUCGAGGUACAACCAAGAGGAAGUUGAAAGUGAACAGAUAGUGGUUUUUUUUUUUUAUUGUCAAAAUGUGUUUUUAUUCUGGGUUAAGAGGAACUUCCCCUGAAUCUGAAAUGAGUUUGACCAAAACUCAUUAUAACAACGUAGGCGAGUUCGCCCAGAGGAGAUCCCCGAGUCCUCCCGGUCAAAAAGUCACUGUGGAACGAAAAAAAAGAAAACAAAAACACAGAUGGGAACAAGAAGAGGACACACAACAGACAAUAUACUAAAACACACACACACACACACACACACACACCUCUGAAUCACCGGUACUUCUAUGGGGGUUUGGUUUCAGACACUGAUUUGAAUUAAGGUUAGGAGGUCAGGUGAAAUUAUUCAAAGUUACGUCCAGUGUUGAAUUGCUUCCAGACAAAUUCUGAUAAAAUUACUUGUGUUUUAAAAGUCAACAAAAUUUCUUUAUCGUAAACUAUUUACUUUGCUUUGUUUCUGCUGCCCCCUCAUGGCCAAAAAUGUCUAAAAUUUCGUCCCGGUUUCCCACCAACGGUCGUAAACUUACUCCAAUGUAAACCCGUCCAUCCAAGGCACGGUGAAACACUUUUAGCAAAGUUGGCAUCAGAAAAGCCUGAGACGCACCGAGCAACGAUGAGGAGCUCAGUCUUCAAAAGAUUGUAAGAAACAGGUUCUGGACUUGCUUGAUUGGAGGGAUUCUGACGCAAUCAUGAGGCUCCAUUUUGUAUGAUUUAUCAGGCCUAUUGUUAUAUUUAGACAAUUCAACAAUAGACUGGACAUAUUGGCAACUAAUUUGGAUUCCACUCAGAAACUCCCUUAGCUUCCUCUAGCACUGCACGCUAACCUAUCCUACAUGCAGCAUGAUACUCGUUUCAGGGUGUAACCUUUGAAUUUUAUCGAUAUCUCUGCCAGUUCAGGGGUUGAGAUAUUUUGCUCUCGACAGUCGGACCAUCGUCCGUGUAACUAGAAAAAGACAAACAGAAAACUAAGCAAAAUACAAGCAAAAUACAGGAAAACAGGGAUGUGAUGAACAACGUGCUGGCUGUGUUUACGGUGCUGCACAUUGAUCCUGUCGUCCUCUUUAGCAUUCACGCUUCAGGGGGUCAACGUAUCUAAGCUUUACAUCCAAUAUGUUUCCCUUCCAUCUACACCAUUAAUCAGUGUCUCGUUCCUCUCUGUUGCUGCCUUGUGCCAAAAUGAAAAAGUGAUUUAUCUUCUUAAAAAAAAAAAAAAAAAAAGGGAUGGUGGUGACGAGUCUGCUGCUCAUGGCGUUAUUAUUUACGGCUUCACACGCAUAAAACAAACUGCACACAAGCACCUGAUCACUUUAAAACACCGAGAUGUGAUUUAUACUCUUCUUUAAAUCGAUAACCUCGAGAGACGGCAUGAAGAAGUGUUUCAUGCCUAUAGAGUAUUGACACUUACUUUAUAGUUUCCAGUUAAAUGGGUGGAACCUUUUUAUUUUUUUUUUUAAUUAUUCCCCAUCAGAUUUUUAAAAAAAACAAGACUGUCUUUAAUGUUCUUCCCCAGAUUCUGUCAGUGUGGGCGUUUGUUUUAAUUCAGAGCGAGCUGGUGGAUCUGUGCCUGAAAGGUGCCAGUUCUUUUUCUCCUCAUGCCUCUGGAGUUUGGCACGCCGAGGUGUUUUUUAAGCCGAAGAGGAUUUUCUCCCGAUGUGGAAAUGCCCGAUGUCCUGUAGGCACUGAAGCAAGUUCCUGCCACUUUGCAGCAUAAAUGGCUUUACUUACCACACACACACACACACACACACACACACACACACACACACUAAAGUUAACAGCAAUAUAUCUAGAGGUCUGGAGUGAGUACUUCAUGGUUAUGUUUCUAUAAUAACUAUGUUAGCUGUGAGUGGGAACCUGCAUCCAGAUUUUCAAAACUGGACAAAAUUAACAGUCUGUCCUCUGCAGGAAAACAGCCACAUAAGUCGUCAUAUAUUUACAUUUUCUGUUGGCUGUAGUAUCAUUAUGGCAGCGAAGGACGAAGCUAGGAAAAGUAUGAGGAAGUGACAAAUUCAGUGACGAGGUCUAUAAACUUACUGACAAUGUUAAGUUAAUUCAUGUAUAUAUAUAAAGUUACAUGCAACUAAAGUUACAGUAGUUAUUUCAACCCAACCAAUGAUGUAGUUUUAGUGCCUCAACCCAACCAACUGCAUCUGUACGACGGUGGUUUUGGAAACAUUUCUUUUUGGAAGUCCUUAGAAAUUAACCUUGACAGAAAACCCACCAACACCUGACAACACCUGUACUUUUUUUUUGUCUUCAGUUGGGAGGUACCAAUAAAAAGCGUUAAUUCUCAUGUGUUCCCAAAUGUUUCUGCACCAGUUACAAGUACUCACUGACUUCUAAUUGGUAGCAGUGGAAACAUGGCACCCCAGUGGACACCUCUUCUUUUCCCGGUGCAAAGUGGCCUUCCCCUGUUGGCUUCUUCGUCACGUGCCGACGAGAAAAAUCAUCAACGAAUCUGGUCAGAAACUGGCAGCAGAAACAAAGUCAUUCAUGGUUCCUGGCAUCUAAUCUCUGGCCGCUGUGCAUCUGUGCCUUCGGUGGAUGCACACAUGUGCUGCGACGUUGAAGGGAUUAAUAUUUAUUUUAAGCAGACAGAGAGAGAGAAAACCCCUCGUAUCACGCACACUGAAAUGAAAUGAAAGCCCCUACGAUUCACAAACACAAGCUGGCGGCACACAUUCAUAAUUUCCCUGAUUGGUUGAUCUGUCACGUGUUGAUCCGUCUCCAAGUCCGCUCUUGAGGGAUUAGCCAACAUGAGAUUUGCGCUGCGGUGUGCUGCUCCUGUCCCUUUAAAUUUCAUAUUUUUAGAAGAGGGGGUCGCGCUGAAAUUGCUGACACUUGAAAAUUAAAUGAGCUCGAGCCGCGUAGCUUAAGCGACACUCUUUAUAGCGGUGCCAAUACUUUAACCCUACAGAAUACUUGAGCGCUCAGCAUUAACUGGACUCUCAUUACAGGACACAACAGCUGAGACCUCAACGCGGAUUUAAAAAAAAAAAAAAAUCUGAAGCAGAAAAAAAAAUAACAGGACAGGAUUGACCAGAUCUGCUGAAGGACAAUAAUCCCUGCGUAACAUUCACGGUUGAUAACAACAGGCCCGGCCCGCGGACGGCAGCAGGAUGACCGGAUACAUUCAGCAGCUGGAACAAAAAGGAGGAUGAGCACCUUCAUUCCCUCCACCUCUCCUCCUCCU